ACGACCACACAUCUCGUUCCCAUCCUAUAAAAAAAUAACAUUAACUUGUUACACUAAUUUCUCGAUUAUCGAGCCUCUCGAGUAGUAUUCGGAAAUCGGAUUCGACCCGAAUAAUUCGCGUUUAAGAAAAAUGCUCGAGAAAUUUUUCUUCGAAUGACCGAGGUGGUUGGUACAAAGUUAACGGUAAAUUGGUUUCCUGGUCGAUCGUGAGUCGUGAGCUGCCGAAUUUUGUCUCGGCCGAAUCGACGAAAAGGCGGUUGGCUGGUUGGUUAAGAGGAAGUCUGAAAUUUGGCCGGGGCCCUCAGUUCGAAAUUAGUAUUCAUUAGGGGAGCAAGCGAGAUUUUCGACGAGUCAUGUAGAAAUAAUUAAGUGCCACCGAUGCAAUUAAUCUCAUUUCGAGGGAAACAUUGAUUGCACCUUGUGCGAAAGGCUUCCGCCGUGAUUAAUGGAACGUGAUCGUGAAGGAGAGACGAUGAAAAUGGGUUAAGUACAAUUUCGUACGUCACCCAGUGCGAGAAGAUAACGAGUUUCGUUUGGAAAUUCCCUGUUUUGCGUGCAUGCGUGUGUACAAAACGUACAACGUGCGUCGUCGUCCCGUUAACAUUUAAUGAUUGUCGUUCCAGAAUGAACUUUUGAUAAUCUUUGUUUCCGCAUUUUUGCCGCUUUUUUUUUUUUAAUGUCUCUCGCU